CUCAUUCAAGGAGAUGAGCUACAACCAGGC
rnacentral:piRNA from 1 species